UACGUAGGGGCUAGCGGUUGUCCGGAAUCAUUGGGCGUAAAGAGGCGUUGUGAUGCGUGCUCGGUAAGUCCGCUGUAAAAGUCAAAGGCUCAACCUUUGAAGUGUACAGUGGAUACUGCCGGGCUAGAGUCCGGAAGAGGCGAGUGGAAACUCCUGGUGUAGGCGGUGGAAUGGCGCAGAUAUCAAGGAAGAACACCAACGGCGAAGGCAGCUCGCUGGGACGGUACUGACGCUGAGACGCGAAAGCGUGGGGAGC
rnacentral:rRNA from 1 species